rnacentral:rRNA from 1 species
GACGAACGCUGGCGGCGUGCCUAAUACAUGCAAGUCGAGCGAGUCCUUCGGGGCUAGCGGCGGACGGGUGAGUAACACGUAGGCAACCUGCCUGUAAGCUUGGGAUAACUAUCGGAAACGAUAGCUAAUACCGAAUACGUGUGGAGAACGCAUGUUCUUCACUGGAAAGGCGGAGCAAUCUGCCGCUUACAGAUGGGCCUGCGGCGCAUUAGCUAGUUGGUGGGGUAACGGCCCACCAAGGCGACGAUGCGUAGCCGACCUGAGAGGGUGAUCGGCCACACUGGGACUGAGACACGGCCCAGACUCCUACGGGAGGCAGCAGUAGGGAAUCUUCCGCAAUGGGCGAAAGCCUGACGGAGCAACGCCGCGUGAGUGAUGAAGGUUUUCGGAUCGUAAAGCUCUGUUGCCAAAGAAGAACAGUGCGGAGAGUAACUGCUCUGCAUGUGACGGUAUUUGAGAAGAAAGCCCCGGCUAACUACGUGCCAGCCGCCGCAGUAAAAC